UUUGUGUGCUUUCCCUCUUGAAGAGACAAU
rnacentral:piRNA from 1 species